GAUGAACGCUGGCGGCGUGCCUAACACAUGCAAGUCGAACGGAGUUCUUAAGGAAUGCGGCUUCGGCUAAAUGACUUUUGAACUUAGUGGCGGACGGGUGAGUAACGCGUGAGCAACCUGCCUUUCAGAGGGGGAUAACAUUUGGAAACAGAUGCUAAUACCGCAUAAGAUUACAGUACCGCAUGAUACAGUGAUCAAAGGAGCAAUCCGCUGAAAGAUGGGCUCGCGUCCGAUUAGAUAGUUGGUGAGGUAACGGCGUCACCAAGUCGACGAUCGGUAGCCGGACUGAGAGGUUGAACGGCCACAUUGGGACUGAGACACGGCCCAGACUCCUACGGGAGGCAGCAGUGGGGAAUAUUGCACAAUGGGCGAAAGCCUGAUGCAGCAACGCCGCGUGAGGGAAGACGGUUUUCGGAUUGUAAACCUCUAGUUUUCGGUGUACGAACAAAUGACGGUAACCGAGUAGGAAGCCACGGCUAACUACGUGCCAGCAGCCGACGG
rnacentral:rRNA from 1 species